rnacentral:rRNA from 1 species
AUGCCAGACAGAGAUGAGAGAGAGUGGGAAAAGAUGCAUGGCCCAGUGAUCAAACCCCCACCCAAGAAGAAUGCCAAAAAGGGAAGGCAUCAGAAGAAUAGAGGGAAACAACCACAUGAAGCCAAGGACAAGAGAGGAGGCAAAAAUCUCACAAGGCAUGGUGUGAUCAUCACUUGCUCUCAUUGCCAAGAGGAGGGUCACAAUAGAGCAGGUUGCAACAAGAGGAAAGCUAGUUUGCCACCUGUGAGGCAUGUGCCACAACCACAACCUAUUCCUCCUAUUCCUGUUGACUCAUCAGAUGAUGAACAACAGAAUGUGCAUCAAGUUGAACUUGAUUCAGGCAGUGAAGAAAGUGAAGAGGAACCAGUAAAAACUCAGGAAGUGUUUGGUGACACAAUGGUACAACAGAUGAGAAGGGAGCAACAAUCAUCUAGGAGACCUGGACUUUCUCAGCAAUCCAUGCCUGAAUCAAGCUUCAUCAGCUCAGCAAGAGCUCAGAGCAGUAGCAUGCCACAUGUUACUACAACUGCUAGCAGGGAUGGUAGUCAAGCCAUGAAGCUCAAGCAGAUGAAGAUGGAGAAAGACAGAGAAAUGGUAGAGAAGAGAGAUGCUACACUGGAGGCACUAAAUGCUGCAGCAGAGAAGAGAGCUGCUGAGGCACAAGAGAAGAGAUACCUGGCUGCAAAGAAGAAAGCAAUAGAAAGAGAAGCAAAGAAGCAUGAAACACAAGAGAAGAGAGCUGCUAAUGUUGCAAAGAAGAAGGAAUUAGCUGAAGCAAAGAGAGCAAUUGUCCUACAACAAAGAGAGAAGAAAACAGCAGAGCUGGCAGUUGCUAGAGAGGAGACAAGGAAGAGAAAAGCUUCUGAGCUUGCUGCCAAAAGAAACGAAGAUCAACACAACAGGUCCAGGCUUAAGAGGGCCUCUACAAGUGCACAUGACAUGGGAGGUGGCUCUACAAGCAAGAAAACCAGGAAGGUCAGCAUGUUUGAUGAACUGAGAGAGCCUAGGAAGUAG